rnacentral:miRNA from 1 species
GAUGGAUAUGUCUUCAAGGAC